rnacentral:rRNA from 1 species
GUAUAGAACCUACCUUAUAUUGGGGGAUAGCCCAGAGAAAUUUGGAUUAAUACCCCAUAGUAUGCUGAAGUGGCAUCCUUUAGUAUUAAAGAUUUAUCGAUAUAAGAUGGCUAUGCGUUCUAUUAGCUAGUUGGUAUGGUAACGGCAUACCAAGGCUACGAUAGAUAGGGGUCCUGAGAGGGAGAUCCCCCACACUGGUACUGAGACACGGACCAGACUCCUACGGGAGGCAGCAGUGAGGAAUAUUGGACAAUGGAGGCAACUCUGAUCCAGCCAUGCCGCGUGCAGGAAGACUGCCCUAUGGGUUGUAAACUGCUUUUAUAGAGGAAGAAACCCCCCGACGAGUCGGGUCUGACGGUACUCUACGAAUAAGGAUCGGCUAACUCCGUGCCAGCAGCCGCGGUAAUACGGAGGAUCCAAGCGUUAUCCGGAAUCAUUGGGUUUAAAGGGUCCGUAGCGGAUUUGUAAGUCAGUGGUGAAAGUUUGCGGCUCAACCGUAAAAUUGCCAUUGAUACUGCAAGUCUUGAAUCAUUGUGAAGUGGUUAGAAUAUGUAGUGUAGCGGUGAAAUGCAUAGAUAUUACAUAGAAUACCGAUUGCGAAGGAGAUCACUAACAAUGUAUUGACGCUAAGGGACG